AACCCAACCACCCGCAGCCCAUCAAUCUUAUCCACCCCCCACGACCCGUCUCUCUCUCUCUUGUAUCCUCUGCCCCGCAUUGAUCCAGGCUUCGAUCUCGCCUCCACUGCUGGGCUUCUAUCUCGCCGGCCGCCGCCCGCGUCCCUGCCCCUCUCUUCUCCAUUACCCCUCGCACCACCGGCCGCCGCCGCUCGGGUCACCAGCCGCCUCCGCCUCUCGGGCCGCUGACCGCCGCGGCUGCUCGGGUCACCAGUCGCCUCCGCCUCUUGGGCCGCCGGCAGCCGCGGCCGCUUGGGCCAGUGGUCGCCGCUCGUGCCACCGUCGCUCAAGCCAUCGGCCGUCGCCCGCGCCACCAACCGCCACCUCCGCUCGAGCCAUCAACCGCCUCCGCCGCUCGAGCGCUCGGGCCACCAACCGCCGUCGCUGCUCGGGCCACCGGUCGCCGCUAGCGCCACCCGCUGUCGCAGAGAGCAUCGACGGAUGCGAAGGGCCGCUGCCGUUCGCUCCCAACUGGUUCAGCACGCCGAGCGGCUCCAUGGCCGGCGCGGCUGCCGACGGGGGUGCCCCGUGCCUCCUACGCUCGCGCCACCGACUGCCCGAGCCAACGCCCCGAGCCCUCUUUCUCUGUAAAUAAUUUGUAGAAGUAUUUUGUAAUUUGAUCUCUGUAAAUAAGUUGUAGAAGUAUUUUGUAAGUUGAUCUAUAAAGAAAUUGUUGAUGUUCAGAUCUGUAAGUUUUUUGCGUGAUAAUGUUGUAGUAGGAUUUUGCUCUA
rnacentral:rRNA from 1 species